ensembl:lncRNA
GUGUGUGCUAUAACACUGAAAAUAUGCCUUAACGUAUUUGUAUUCACCAAGGAAAUAGUUUUAGGUGUUGGUGUAACUCUUUAACAUGACUUCAAAUAUGUAUAAUAUUGUUCUUGUUUUUUUUUUUUCUUACCAAAGUGAGCAGAGACUGUAAUAUGCAGCACUAGAGCCUUGUGUGUGUGUGUGUGUAUAUAUAUAUAUAUAUAUAUAUAUAUAUAUAUAUAUAUAUAUAUAUAUAUAUAUAUACGUGUAAAAUACAUUCGACAUAUGUGUAUGUAAUAUGCUCACAUGCAUAAAUUACAUCCUGAAUGUAACUAAACAAAGUUAAAAAAAAAAAAAAAAAAAAAAGUACAGACUAAGUAAGUAGCACCAGAUUUCUAAAGUGUCACAGUACAUGGGCCGUUAAGAGAAUCACUCCUAGGCAAAAUCUGCAGGCAUUUUGCUCUGAUUUGACUUUAAAAGACAAGAACACGUCCUCUCACGCCCUGCACUGAGCAUGCAGUAGUGACACGUUAGCUUGAGAAGCCUAUAGGGUGUUGCGUGUGUAGCGUGUGAGCAACAGCAGCUGAGAAACACACGCAGUAAAACUUUUUUUUUAAAAAAAAAUUGGACUUCGGGGGGUUUUUAUAGGACUAAAAUAUACUGGGCUUUUACUCUGAGAAUGAAGAUGAAGUAGUUCCACUUGAUUACGCAUAGUGAUGGAGGAGAUGAUGUUAAAGUGGCUGAAAUGGACAAGUUGCAUGGACACGGUCAAGAGAGACAGAUCAAAUGAGAACAGGUGGCCUCGCUGCUGUCUUGGAGACCAAGUUGGGUGAGAUUCUGCAACACAGCAGCAAGUUCAACUGCUCAUAUUUUACAAGUUUCUGUAUCAGAAAAUAAGAAGGCAUAUGUAUGCAGCCAGUUUUAAAUCUAUUGUGCAAUUAAUGCCAUAGAUGUAAGUUGACUCAGUUUGAUUCGAAUAUUUAGCUCUAUUCAAUUUGAAGAGUCUGAUAUUGUGGGAAAACAACACACCGUAUGCCUGCAUGCGUCUGUAGCAUAGUGAGUGUGUGCUGAUUGAGCAGGUUUACAUAUUUUUCAACCUGAGACUUGUUGCUGACAUGGCAGAGCAGACCUUCUGAUAUGAACAGUCCGUCAUUUUUGCCUGUAAGUUUGCACAUAUAUGUGUAUGCAUUCACAUUUUCAUGUAAUGUUCAGUCUGUGGGUAAUUUACAAAGCAAUCGUUCUACUUUUGCAGUACUGAAAAGGCCUUGACCACUGACUGACAGCUUAUUUCCCUGAAUGUCACAAACCACAGUGUGUUUAUGUACUUCGGUGUUUUGUUCUGGUUUACAUAUAAUUUGAUGUGAUUGUUUUAUUAUUAUUAUCUUUGUGCAAAUAUAACUUGUGCUGGUGCAAUAAAAUGAAUUCUGU